CGUCAAACAUGGGGCGAGCAGCCGGGGGAAUCAAGAGGGUGGGAGCGUUAAUUAGAUUUGCUGGGCGGUAGGAUCGACGAGGUGGCUAAUUAAGUCAAAUGUGAAAUCCCGGAGCUGAACUUGGGAAUUGCAUUCGAUACUGGUUAGGUAGAGUAUGGGAGAGGAUGGUAGAAGUCCAGGUGUAGCGGUGAAAUGCGUAGAGAUCUGGAGGAAUACCGAUGGCGAAGGCAGCCAUCUGGCCUAAUACUGACACUGAGGUGCGAAAGCAUGGGGAGCAAACAGGAUUAGAUACCGAGUAGUC
rnacentral:rRNA from 1 species